rnacentral:rRNA from 1 species
CAGCCGUAAACUAUGCGCGUUAGGUGUACUGGUGACCACGAGUCACCGGGGUGCCGAAGGGAAACCGUGAAACGUGCCGCCUGGGAAGUACGGUCGCAAGGCUGAAACUUAAAGGAAUUGGCGGGGGUGCACCACAACGGGUGGAGCCUGCGGUUUAAUUGGACUCAACGCCGGAAAUCUCACCGGAUAGGACAGACAUAUGAUAGUCGGGCUGAAGACUCUACUUGAUGAUCUGAGAGGUGGUGCAUGGCGUCAGUGACU